GGUUGGUUGGUGCUGGGGCCGCCCCGCCUGGGCUGAGUCCUUUCAGGGGCCUCGCGGCGCCGUGCACUUCCCGCCUGGCUGGGCCCCGGGGCUGUGCGUGGGUGUCCGAGCCCCGGAGCGGGAGGGAGCCCUAUUGCCCCAGCGGAACAAUAGAAGGGCAGAGACCUGGGCUUAGUUAGAGUGGACUUCCCCGUUGCCUUUGCUCGCCCAGUGUGAUCGAAACACUAGGAAGGCAGGCACAGCAUGCGACUGGUUUAGCACAAGCCGCCCCCCCCCCGCCCCUUAACUUCAGCUUUCUUUCCAAAAGGUCCCAUCAGGGGCAGAACACCCCGAAGUGGCAGACAGGAAAGAACAUGCAGUAGGGAGCCUGGCAUCCAGACCUGGUCACUAAUGAUCUCUGGGUAGAAUUAACAAGUAAAAAUAGAAUAAUAUCUUCUAGGAAGUUGGAGUCAAUCUUCUUGCCUGCAGAUACCUCUUGGCUCAUCCUAUAAAAUGGUAUUUCAGAAGCCUCCAGAUGGUGGAUGGGGCUGGGUGAUAGUUGUAGUUUCCUUCUUUACUCAGUUCUUGUGUUAUGGAUCUCCGCUAGCAGUUGGAGUCUUGUAUUUGGAAUGGCUGGAUGCUUUUGGAGAAGGG